rnacentral:tRNA from 1 species
AAAGAAUUAGUUAAACUCAAUAACAUAAAUAUGUCAAAUUUAAAUUAUUAUUUUUAAAAAAUAAUAUUCUUUU